rnacentral:rRNA from 1 species
GACGAGCCACACGAACGUUAUUCGGAAUUACUGGGCUUAAAGGGUGCGUAGGCGGCGCGAAAAGUUGGGUGUGAAAUACCUCGGCUUAACCGAGGAACUGCGCCCAAAACUAUCGUGCUCGAGGGAGAUAGAGGUGAGCGGAACUUACGGUGGAGCGGUGAAAUGCGUUGAUAUCGUAAGGAACACCCGUGGCGAAAGCGGCUCACUGGGUCUUCUCUGACGCUGAUGCACGAAAGCUAGGGGAGCAAAC